rnacentral:hammerhead_ribozyme from 1 species
GCACUGCUGAUGAGUUCCUAAACAGGACGAAACAGCUGUUCAGUGC